rnacentral:rRNA from 1 species
ACGAACGCUGGUGGCGUGCCUAAUGCAUGCAAGUCGCACGCGCGGAGCUUGCUCCGUGAGUGGCGGACGGCUGAGGACAACAUGGGAACCUGCCCAUCCGUGGGGGACAACAUGGCGAAAGUCGUGCUAAUCCCGCAUACGCUCGUGCAAACGAGGAAAGCAGCAAUGCGCGGAAGGAGGGGCCUGUGGCCCAUCAGGUUGUUGGCGGGGGUAACGGCCCACCAAGCCGAUGACGGGUAGCUGGUCUGUGAGGAUGAUCAGCCAGACUGGGACUGAGAAACGGCCCAGACUCCUACGGGAGGCAGCAGCAAGGAAUUUUCGGCAAUGGGCGCAAGCCUGACCGAGCAACGCCGCGUGGUGGAUGACGGCCUUCGGGUUGUAAACACCUUUUGGGGGGGAAGACAUCGACGGUACCCUCCGAAUCAGGCUCGGCUAACUCUGUGCCAGCAGCCGCGGUAAGACAGAGGAGCCAAGCGUUGUCCGGAUUGACUGGGCGUAAAGCGUACGCAGGUGGUCGCGUAAGUGCCGUGUGAAAGCAGCUCGCUUAACGAGCUGAGGCCAUGGCAGACUGCGCAACUAGAGCCCGUGAGAGGUCUGUGGAAUUGCCGGUGUAGUGGUGAAAUGCGUAGAGAUCGGCAGGAACACCCAUGGGGAAGCCAGCGGACUGGCACGAGGCUGACACUGAGGUACGACAGCGUGGGGAGCGAACUGGAUUAGAUACCCAGGUAGUCCACGCCGUAAACGAUGGAUACUCGCUGUGUGGCGGUGUAAAAGCUGCUGCGCAGCCAAGCCAACGCGAUAAGUAUCCCGCCUGGGAACUACGAGCGCAAGCUUAAAACUCAAAGGAAUUGACGGGGGCCCGCACAAGCAGCGGAGCGUGUGGUUUAAUUCGACGCAACGCGCAGAACCUUACCCAGGUUUGACAUGGCACUGCAAGCCGCUGAAAGGCGGUCGCCUUCGAGGGUGUGCCACAGAUGCUGCAUGGCUGUCGUCAGCUCGUGUCGUGAGAUGUUGGGUUAAGUCCCGCAACGAGCGCAACCCCUACGGUCAGUUAUUCGUGUCUGGCCGGACUGCCGCUUUGCGGAGGAAGGCGGGGAUGACGUCAAGUCCGCAUGGCUCUUACGCCUGGGGCGACACACACGCUACAAUGCCGGCAUCAAUGCGCAGCGACCCAGUAAUGGGAAGCGAAUCGCGAGCGGCCGGCUCAGUGCAGAUUGGGGGCUGCAACUCGCCCCCAUGAAGGCGGAGUUGCUAGUAACCGCGUAUCAGCCAUGGCGCGGUGAAUACGUACCCGGGCCUUGUACACACCGCCCGUCACGUCAUGGGAGUUGGCAAUGCUUGAAGUCCGUGGGCUGACCCGCGAGGGGGGCAGCGGCCGAGGGCAGGGCCAGCGACUGGGACG